GGAUAGGGGUGAAAGGCCAAUCAAACUUCGUGAUAGCUGGUUCUCUCCGAAAUAUAUUUAGGUAUAGCGUUGUGUCGUAAUAUAAGGGGGUAGAGCACUGAAUGGGCUAGGGCAUACACCAAUGUACCAAACCCUAUCAAACUCCGAAUACCUUAUAUGUAAUCACAGCAGUCAGGCGGCGAGUGAUAAAAUCCGUCGUCAAGAGGGAAACAACCCAGACUACCAGCUAAGGUCCCUAAAUCUUACUUAAGUGGAAAACGAUGUGAAGUUACUUAAACAACCAGGAGGUUGGCUUAGAAGCAGCCAUCCUUUAAAGAAAGCGUAAUAGCUCACUGGUCUAGUGAUUUUGCGCGGAAAAUAUAACGGGGCUAAAGUAAGUACCGAAGCUGUAGACUUAGUUUACUAAGUGGUAGGAGAGCGUUCUAUUUGCGUCGAAGGUAUACCGGUAAGGAGUGCUGGAGCGAAUAGAAGUGAGCAUGCAGGCAUGAGUAGCGAUAAUUAAUGUGAGAAUCAUUAACGCCGUAAACCCAAGGUUUCCUACGCGAUGCUCGUCAUCGUAGGGUUAGUCGGGUCCUAAGUCGAGUCCGAAAGGGGUAGACGAUGGCAAAUUGGUUAAUAUUCCAAUACCAACAUUAGUGUGCGAUGGAAGGACGCUUAGGGCUAAGGGGGCUAGCGGAUGGAAGUGCUAGUCUAAGGUCGUAGGAGGUUAUACAGGCAAAUCCGUAUAACAAUACUCCGAGAACUGAAAGGCUUUUUGAAGUCUUCGGAUGGAUAGAAGAACCCCUGAUGCCGUCGAGCCAAGAAAAGUUUCUAAGUUUAGCUAAUGUUGCCCGUACCGUAAACCGACACAGGUGGGUGGGAUGAGUAUUCUAAGGCGCGUGGAAGAACUCUCUUUAAGGAACUCUGCAAAAUAGCACCGUAUCUUCGGUAUAAGGUGUGGUUAGCUUUGUAUUAGGAUUUACUCCGAAAGCAAGGAAACUUACAACAAAGAGUCCCUCCCGACUGUUUACCAAAAACACAGCACUCUGCUAACUCGUAAGAGGAUGUAUAGGGUGUGACGCCUGCCCGGUGCUCGAAGGUUAAUUGAUGGGGUUAGCAUUAGCGAAGCUCUUGAUCGAAGCCCGAGUAAACGGCGGCCGUAACUAUAACGGUCCUAAGGUAGCGAAAUUCCUUGUCGGUUAAAUACCGACCUGCAUGAAUGGCGUAACGAGAUGGGAGCUGUCUCAAAGAGGGAUCCAGUGAAAUUGUAGUGGAGGUGAAAAUUCCUCCUACCCGCGGCAAGACGGAAAGACCCCGUGGACCUUUACUACAGCUUGACACUGCUACUUGGAUAAGAAUGUGCAGGAUAGGUGGGAGGCUUUGAGUAUAUGACGCCAGUUGUAUAUGAGCCAUUGUUGAGAUACCACUCUUUCUUAUUUGGGUAGCUAACCAGCUUGAGUUAUCCUCAAGUGGGACAAUGUCUGGUGGGUAGUUUGACUGGGGCGGUCGCCUCCCAAAUAAUAACGGAGGCUUACAAAGGUUGGCUCAGAACGGUUGGAAAUCGUUCGUAGAGUAUAAAGGUAUAAGCCAGCUUAACUGCAAGACAUACAAGUCAAGCAGAGACGAAAGUCGGUCUUAGUGAUCCGGUGGUUCUGUGUGGAAGGGCCAUCGCUCAAAGGAUAAAAGGUACCCCGGGGAUAACAGGCUGAUCUCCCCCAAGAGCUCACAUCGACGGGGAGGUUUGGCACCUCGAUGUCGGCUCAUCGCAUCCUGGGGCUGGAGCAGGUCCCAAGGGUAUGGCUGUUCGCCAUUUAAAGCGGUACGCGAGCUGGGUUCAGAACGUCGUGAGACAGUUCGGUCCCUAUCUGCCGUGGGCGUAAGAAGAUUGAAGAGAUUUGACCCUAGUACGAGAGGACCGGGUUGAACAAACCACUGGUGUAGCUGUUGUUCUGCCAAGAGCAUCGCAGCGUAGCUAAGUUUGGAAAGGAUAAACGCUGAAAGCAUCUAAGCGUGAAGCCAACUCUAAGAUGAAUCUUCUCUAAGCUCUCUAGAAGACUACUAGUUUGAUAGGCUGGGUGUGUAAUGGAUGAAAGUCCUUUAGCUGACCAGUACUAAUAGAGCGUUUGGCUUAUCUUU
rnacentral:rRNA from 1 species